rnacentral:rRNA from 1 species
GACGAACCGUGCGAACGUUGUUCGGAAUCACUGGGCUUAAAGGGCGCGUAGGCGGGUUCGUAAGUCUGUGGUGAAAGCCCCCAGCUUAACUGGGGAAGUGCCAUGGAUACUGCGAAUCUUGAGGAGGGUAGGGGCAUCUGGAACACUGGGUGGAGCGGUGAAAUGCGUUGAUAUCCAGUGGAACUCCGGUGGCGAAGGCGAGGUGCUGGACCCUUUCUGACGCUGAUGCGCGAAAGCCAGGGGAGCAAACGGG